GAUCUGCCCUCUACUGAUUUGAUUUGGGGCGUCAUCUUUCCUCUUUGCUUUGCAGCCUCUGUGUUAAUAGUAGUACUAUGUUAUCACACACUUACUGACUGCAUCAAGAGGAACAGUAAUAAACAAGUAAAAAAACGAAGACAAACGAGACGAAAACAUUGAGGCCGAUGGUUUCGAGGCUCAAAAGGAACCGGAGAACCAGAGAACAACUGAGGAAGAGGCUGUCAUGUGGUCGAACCCGACUGCCACAGAGAUUCACACAGCACAGUGACAGAUCACUCAAAACAGGCGGCUGGGAGAUCUGAAGGGGGUGCCUUUGUCCAAAAAAUGUAAUUUAGUGAAGUGAAAAAAAGAUAUGUUUGAUAUAUGUCUGUUUUAUUUAUUUUACAUUUAUUUUUCUAUUUGAUUUUAAUUUUUUAUUGCAUUGAAAGAACAUGGUUCAUGUUUUGUUGAAAUUGUGCCUUAAUAAAUACUCAUUUAGAGUAGUCA